CAGCAGCCACGGUAAUACAGAGGGUGCGAGCGUUAAUCGGAUUUACUGGGCGUAAAGCGUGCGUAGGCGGCUUCUUAAGUCGGAUGUGAAAUCCCUGAGCUUAACUUAGGAAUUGCAUUCGAUACUGGGAAGCUAGAGUAUGGGAGAGGAUGGUAGAAUUCCAGGUGUAGCGGUGAAAUGCGUAGAGAUCGGGAGGAACAUCAGUGGCGAAGGCGGCCAUCUGGGACAACACUGACGCUGAGGCACGAAAGCGUGGGGAGCAAACAGGAUUAGAUACCCGGGUAGUCCCUGUCUCUUAUAC
rnacentral:rRNA from 1 species